AGAGUUUGAUCCUGGCUCAGGACGAACGCUGGCGGUGUGCUUAACACAUGCAAGUCGAACGGUAAGGCCCUUUCGGGGGUACACGAGUGGCGAACGGGUGAGUAACACGUGAGUAACCUGCCCUCAUCUCUGGGAUAACAGUCGGAAACGGUUGCUAAUACUGGAUAUGAGCUUGCAAGGCAUCUUGUGGGUUGGAAAGAUAUUUUUUUGGUUGGGGAUGGACUCGCGGCCUAUCAGCUUGUUGGUGAGGUAGUGGCUCACCAAGGCUUCGACGGGUAGCCGGCCUGAGAGGGCGACCGGCCACAUUGGGACUGAGAUACGGCCCAAACUCCUACGGGAGGCAGCAGUGGGGAAUAUUGCACAAUGGACGGAAGUCUGAUGCAGCAACGCCGCGUGCGGGAUGACGGCCUUCGGGUUGUAAACCGCUUUCAAUUGUGACGAAGCUUUUUGUGACGGUAGCAGUAGAAGAAGCACCGGCUAACUACGUGCCAGCAGCCGCGGUGAUACGUAGGGUGCGAGCGUUGUCCGGAUUUAUUGGGCGUAAAGAGCUUGUAGGCGGUUUGUCGCGUCGGGAGUGAAAACUUGGGGCUUAACUCUGAGCUUGCUUUCGAUACGGGCUGACUUGAGGGAGGUAGGGGAGAAUGGAAUUCCUGGUGGAGCGGUGGAAUGCGCAGAUAUCAGGAGGAACACCGGUGGCGAAGGCGGUUCUCUGGACCUUUCCUGACGCUGAGAAGCGAAAGCGUGGGGAGCGAACAGGCUUAGAUACCCUGGUAGUCCACGCCGUAAACGUUGGGCACUAGGUGUGGGGGGCCU
rnacentral:rRNA from 1 species